UAUUGAUCCAGAUGGCCCGAAUGGAAACCUUUCUGAUCCAGUGGAAGUUGAAUGUCGAAAUGGCGUGACCACCAUUUCUCACAACAUUCCUGGUGAACAGCAAGUUCCUCAAGGCUUUGAGGAUGAAGGUUCUUACAGAAAAGAGGUGGAAUACACUCUACCCAUGGAUUCCAUCGUUGCAAUACUAAUGGACUCCACGAGCUGCAGGCAGUACAUCAGAGCAGCCUGUUCCUAUACCUACAUGAUAAGUGACACCAGAACCAAUAACAUUUACUGGGUCUCAAGACAAGGGAUCAAGAUGACAAACUGGGGAGAUGCACCAAGUAAUGUUACCGGGUGUCUUUGCGGUGUCAACAACACUUGCCACAGUUCAGGGGAUUAUUGCAAUUGUGAUAAUUCUGACCAAUGGAUGACGGACGAAGGCUUCCUGAGGGACCUAACUCGACUUCCGGUCACCAGACUACAUUUUGGAGAUACAGGGAGUGAUUUUGAAAAGAUUAACUACGAACUUGGAUUUCUCGAAUGUCAAUGAGGGCUUCAUUCAAGAGGAAGAUUGCUAUUUUGUUUUUUCAAAGUAUUUGAGCACGGGGGGGGGGGGGGUCCUUCAAGGCCGUCGAUCCGUCUUCAGGAUGAUAAUACAUGUUUUAAUCAUGCUGGAUGGGGGGGGGGGGGGCGGCGUAUGGCUAUUAUGUCUCUUUGAGAUAGUUCCUAAAGUUGUAUAU